rnacentral:ncRNA from 1 species
GUUUCGGGGCGGGGUGAAAUUCCCCACUGGCGGUAAGGGUGCACAGCAUUCCCAAGCCCGCGUGCCGCACAUAAGGGCGGCUGAUCUGGUGCGAUUCCAGAGCCAACGGUUACAGUCCGGAUGGAAGAAA